GGCAGCCGGCAUUCUACUUCCUGUCUCUAUGAGUUUGACUAUUCCAGGCCUGGAUCAUAUAAAGCUCUCUUGAGACCUGGAGAAGCAGCAAUGGCAAAACCAGCAUUGUCUAUGGGAGAGGCUAGGAUGUAAAAACAAUCCAGGUUAGUAAGUUUAAAAACAUCCAGUCAGCCCAGGCACGGUGGCUCAAGCCUGUAAUCCUAGCACUUUGGGAGGCCGAAGCGGGUGGAUCACCAGGUCAGGAGUUCGAGACCAUCCUGACCAACAUGGUGAAACCCCGUCUCUACUAAAAAUACAAAAAAAUUAGCUUAGCGUGGUGACAGGCGCCUGUAGUCCCAGCUACUUGGGAGGCUGAGGCAGGAGAAUGGCGUGAACCCGGGAGGCGGAGCUUGCAGUAAGCUGAGAUGGCACCACUGCACUCCAGCCAGGGGGACACAGCCAGACUCCGCCUCAAAAAAAAAAAAAAAAAAAAAUCCAAUCAGUCAACAUGGGUGAAGUUUGAAAACAUUGUGCUGAGAAAAGGAGCCAGUCACAAAAGCCCACUUACGAGAUGAAAGUCCAGAACAGGCAAAUCUAGAGAGACAAAGUAGAUUGUUGGCUACCUGGGGCAGGGGUGACAGCUAAGGGGUACAGGGUUUCUUUUUGGGGUGAUGAAAAUAUUCUAAAACUGAUUGUGAUCAUGGAUACACAGCUCUGUGAAUGCACUGAAAAUGAUUAAACUGUACACUUUAAAUGGGCAAA